UCGCUUUGGCAGCGCAUAUACUAAAAUUGGAACGAUACAGAGAAGAUUAGCAUGGCCCCUGCACAAGGAUGACACGCAAAUUCGUGAAGCGUUCCAUAUUUUU
ensembl:snRNA U6 U6 spliceosomal RNA